GACGAACGCGGCGGCGUGCUUAACACAUGCAAGUCGAACGAAAAGAGGGAAAGAGCUUGCUCUUUCCGGAAUGAGUGGCAAACGGGUGAGUAACACGUAAACAACCUGCCUUCAGGAUGGGGACAACAGACGGAAACGACUGCUAAUACCGAAUAAGUUCCAAGAGCCGCAUGGCCCAUGGAAGAAAAGGUGGCCUCUACCUGUAAGCUAUCGCCUGAAGAGGGGUUUGCGUCUGAUUAGCUGGUGGAGGGGUAACGGCCCACCAAGGCGACGAUCAGUAGCCGGUCUGAGAGGAUGAACGGCCACACUGGAACUGAGACACGGUCCAGACUCCUACGGGAGGCAGCAGUGGGGAAUCUUCCGCAAUGGGCGAAAGCCUGACGGAGCAACGCCGCGUGAGUGAUGACGGCCUUCGGGUUGUAAAACUCUGUGAUCCGGGACGAAAAGGCAGAGUGCGAAGAACAAACUGCAUUGACGGACCGGAAAAGCAAG
rnacentral:rRNA from 1 species